GUGCCCCGGUAGGGCGGGUGGGCGCCGCUUGGCCGGGCCGUGCCGCCGGGGCCGCGGCCUGCGGGGCGGCUGUGCGGGCAGGGCGGAGCGGAGCGCCCUGGGCCCGUGUGCUGGCAGCCUGAGGGCUGCUGCUCUCGGGAAUGGCGCUCUGCGGGCGCUGGCGCCCGGUCCCCGGAGAGAAAGGGCCCCUGGCCCGGGCUGAGCGCGCCUCUGGCCUCAGCAAGAACCGUGACAGAGAGGCGGUGUCCCUUCAGUCCCGGCAGGGCCAGAAGCAGCCAGGACAGCCCCGGCGGCUGCAGCAAAGCGCAGGAGCUGCCGCUGGUGGCCGCUCCGUCCCCACCCGCAGGGGGCCGCCGGGCGCCGCCGUCGCAAAGGUGCCCCAGUGCCGUCGCCCUGCGCACCGGGAAUCAGUGGAGAAGAGGUGGGCUCACGUGUUGUCCUCAUCCGGGAGAGCCGUGACUGUGGAUCUGACCCGCAGGCUUCUGCCUACCUGCCUUCCUAACCACCCAGCUCGGAAGUUCUCCAUUGCCCAGGCCCUCUCAGUGCCAUCACGCUGGCAUAGCAUCACUAGUAUGCACAGAAAAGCAGUAGAAGUGAGUAACAGUGUCCAUUUCUGCCCAAGUGAGUGCCUAAUACUUUGUGAAGGCUUUUAUUCUGUAGGUUUUAUGAGAUACAGUGUUAAUGGAUAACAAGUAAAUUUGGAAAUAGUUGGGAGUUUUUUCAACACCAGUUUUGCUGUAGCCUUUCUACUACUUCCCCCACUCUCAGUUUCUUCCCCUUCGGUCUUUUCAAAACAAAGCUGCAGAGUCUUUUCUUCUGCCACAAAUGUAGAAUGUAUGUAUUUUACAUAUAUCUCUAUAUUCUUAAUUAAAUAUGCUACUGUAUGUUGUUCUGAUAACUUAUCCACCAUGAUUUUUUGUUCAGUUUUGAAAUUAUAACUUGAAUAGAAAAAAACCAAACCUCAAGCUUUAAAAACCCUAAUUUGAGGUGGUAAUUAAGAUAAUUCAAUGGGGUUUAGACAACCAUAUUUACGUAAUGUUGGCUGAAAAGUGUUUUCGGUAUUCCUUGACAAGUCAAAGUGCAGCUUCAUUAAUGACUGUCAUUUCAAUGGAACCUCAAUAAAACAACCACUUCAGAUUACAGUGCAUAGUAUGAUUAUUCUGUUGGUCUUGUGAAAGGCCGUUAGAGCUACCAUGAUGGAGAGGCAGAGAUUGCUCUCAGUGCUGUUUGAUCACUCCCUACCUAGCCUGAAAGGUAAUGGAAAGACCAGUGGUUAGGAUGUUUUGUCAAAAAUUGAAAACAGCCUGUCUUUUACUGUAGUUAUGUCCAAUAAAAUUAGCAUGGGCUAGUGAUUUUUGUUAGUUGAUAGUUAACUCAUUACGUAGGCAGUAGCAGAAAUGCUCUGAUUUGAGAGUUGCUGAAUACGGAGUAGUUACGGGUAGCAGGGGAUGGGGGCUCAGGACUUCUUAAAAGUACCCCUCUCUAGAGGAUCCCAAGUUUUACAAUGUUGAUCCUAAAUUUUGAGCAUCAUCUUCAAUCUCCUGAUUCUCCUUAAAAGAACUAGCCUCUCUUUAAAGCUGAAGUGGGUUGAAAGGCAACUCUUAGUCUGUGGCCUGACUGGAAUUGGAAACACCUGACUUCACUGAGGGAUUUUGCACAGUGUAACCGCAGCUAAAGCCAGAGAGUAAAUAUGUUUUCCUCCAAUUAAUGCAUAUUUCCACUUUUUUUUAUUUUUGACCCAAUAAGAGAAAGGUGUGCUCUUGGCUAAGCUCUUUGGAGUCAUCAGAACCCAUCCCUGCUCUGAGAGACUUCAAAUGUAAAUAGACAGGACAGAGAAGUGGAGAAAACAAAAUAUUGACUGCACUGGGGGAGCAGGAGUGUGAAUUUUUAAGAGACACACUGGCUGUUGCUGCGGAAUCAUUUCUUACUGGGAGCUUUUGGGAAGGGUGUUUUUUUAUUUGAAGUGAUGCACAUCCACGCACACUCUGUGUAUCUUCUGCUCAAGUAGCUGAAUUGUUCUGCAGUGGUGGAUUUAACUGCAUUGCUUCCUGUUAGAUUCCUACUGCUGUCCUAUAGUCUGCUGGUUCACAACUGAAGAAUCCUUUAUUCUGAUUUUCUGUGUGUCACUGCUCCACAGUCAGCUGCAGAGGAUGCACCUGAAGUGCUUCUCCAGAAAUACUUGCAUUUUAAAUGCAAUUAAUUUAAUUUGGUAAAUUUGUAAAUUUGGUAUGAAUCUGACUGGUGCACUUGCCAUUUCUACAUCGUCCUGUACUAAGGUUCUGUACUUAUUAGGUCUCUUGUGAGAAAAGCAGGUUUUAUUCUCUCAAUUCCCAUAGCUAAAAAUGAUGCUGUCUUGAAACUUACUGCACAAUUAUUCUUUGCAUAAGUAGCAUGCAUCUAUGUUUGCCACUUCUGGGUCUUAAUUACUCAUUCAAGUGUGUGGUAGAGCCAAGCGCUAACCCCAGAUUUUGUGAGGUCUUUGGGUUUUGGCCCUGUGGGACAUGGCUAGGUAAAGCAUGACCACAAGUACUUUGUUCUUUUAAAACAUCUUAAAGCUGUCUCCUGAGCUACUUCAUGUGUACUCUAAAAUGCUUCUGUGUUACGUGAACAGCAAAACCACACCUUGUAACAAAAAUCAGUCUGUCUGCACUUGUUUUGUCAGUUCAGGCUCUCAGGACUGACUGACUUUUGUAAAAGCUGACACUUUUUCACUAUUGUAUCUUCUUGUAAAUGGGGAUCCUGUAGUACAGACUUUCUGCUUAGCAGGGUAUCUU
ensembl:lncRNA